AACGAACGCUGGCGGCGUGGAUAAGACAUGCAAGUCGAACGGGACGAGGUUUGUAGCAAUACAAACUUCGUUUAGUGGCGCACGGGUGCGCAACACGUGAGCAAUCUGCCGGGAAGUGGGGGAUAGCUCGCCGAAAGGCGAAUUAAUACCGCAUGUGGCCAUCCUUCGAAUGAAGGAAAAGCCAAAGCAGCAAUGCGCUUCCUGAUGAGCUCGCGGCCUAUCAGCUAGAUGGCGGGGUAACGGCCCACCAUGGCUAUGACGGGUAGCUGGUCUGAGAGGACGACCAGCCACACUGGAACUGAGAUACGGUCCAGACACCUACGGGUGGCAGCAGUCGAGAAUUUUUCACAAUGGGGGAAACCCUGAUGGAGCGACGCCGCGUGGAGGAUGAAGGUCUUCGGGCUGUAAACUCCUGUCAUGCGGGAACAAGAACGUGAUAGUACCGCAAGAGGAAGAGACGGCUAACUCUGUGCCAGCCGCCGCCGUAAAAC
rnacentral:rRNA from 1 species